rnacentral:rRNA from 1 species
UACGGAGGGUGCAAACGUUAUCCGGAUUCACUGGGUUUAAAGGGUGCGUAGGAGGGUUGGUAAGUCAGUGGUGAAAUCUCCGAGCUUAACUUGGAAACUGCCGUUGAUACUAUCAAUCUUGAAUAUCGUGGAGGUGAGCGGAAUAUGUCAUGUAGCGGUGAAAUGCUUAGAUAUGACAUAGAACACCAAUUGCGAAGGCAGCUCGCUACACGAAUAUUGACACUGAUGCACGAAAGCGUGGGGAUCAAACAGG